rnacentral:rRNA from 1 species
AAGUCGAACGAAGUAGCAAUACUUAUGUGGCAGACGGGUGAGUAACAUGUAGGUAUCUACCCUUUGGCCUGGAAUAACACGAGGAAACUUGUGCUAAUACCGGAUAAGUCUUUACGGAGAAAGCUUUAUGCACCAUUGGAUGAGCCUGCACUUGAUUAGUUUGUUGGUGGGGUAAUGGCCUACCAAGACUGUGAUCAAUAGCUGAUUUGAGGGGAUGAUCAGCCACAUUGGGACUGAGACACGGCCCAAACUCCUACGGGAGGCAGCAGUGGGGAAUCUUGCACAAUGGAGGAAACUCUGAUGCAGCGAUGCCGCGUGAGUGAAGAAGGCCUUUGGGUUGUAAAGCUCUUUCGUCGGGGAAGAAAAUGACUGUACCCGAAUAAGAAGGUCCGGCUAACUUCGUGCCAGCAGCCGCGGCAAUACGAAGGGACCUAGCGUAGUUCGGAAUUACUGGGCUUAAAGAGUUCGUAGGUGGUUGAAAAAGUUGGUGGUGAAAUCCCAGAGCUUAACUCUGGAACUGCCAUCAAAACUUUUCAGCUAGAGUAUGAUAGAGGAAAGCAGAACUUCUAGUGUAGAGGUGAAAUUCGUAGAUAUUAGAAAGAAUACCAGUUGCGAAGGCAGCUUUCUGGAUCAUUACUGACACUGAGGAACGAAAGCAUGGGUAGCGAAGAGGAUUAGAUACCCUCGUAGUCCAUGCCGUAAACGAUGUGUGGUAGACGUUGGA